rnacentral:rRNA from 1 species
UACGGGGGGGGCAAGCGUUGUUCGGAAUUACUGGGCGUAAAGGGCGCGUAGGCGGCCUACUAAGUCGGACGUGAAAUCCCUCGGCUCAACCGAGGAACUGCGUCCGAUACUGGCAGGCUGGAAUCCGGGAGAGGGAUGUGGAAUUCCAGGUGUAGCGGUGAAAUGCGUAGAUAUCUGGAGGAACACCGGUGGCGAAGGCGGCAUCCUGGACCGGUAUUGACGCUGAGGCGCGAAAGCCAGGGGAGCAACGGG